GCCAAAGCCAACGUCCAGGGCUUGCUGAGGACCUGCAGCAGGCCCAGAUGUGUUUACUUUGGAGAGGGCUGGAUAAGAGGGAGAUGAGGAUCUUCCAAAGACUGAAAAACAAUCAACUCAUUUCCAAAGCCUCAACUACCUGAGGCAGACAGAGAAUAAAUAUGCAGCAGCUGUUUCUCCAUCUUACAGUGCAGAGGGUCUCUCAAAUUAAGGACCCUCCAAUCCACUCUUCCCGCUGUCAUCGCCUUUUUACAUAUGGAGGAGACAGCAGAUAGAUCACCAAAUUCCCAGUGGACUUUGAGGACCAUGAGCUUAGCUUGGAGCCUGGCUUGCCAUGACCCCUUGGCACUGAUGCAGCCUGUCCCUGAAAGCCUAGGCUAAGAUGGACAGAAAAACCACGCAUGUUAGAUCAACAAAGAAUAACAAAAGAUGCCAUUUGCAGUCCAGGCGAGCUGGUGACAGGGCCAUGCAAACAGGAGGUUCCAUCUCACUUCCCGGAGAAGCGUUGCCUGGCUGCCUAGGCCAGGGGCUGGAGCCUCUCU
rnacentral:lncRNA from 1 species